UGUCUUUCUGUUGUUUUUUUGUUUGCUUUCCUUGCAGUGCAAAAGGCUAAAGUUAGUGAAAUACACUAAGUAAGCAGUUUCGUUCAUUGUUAUAAAAUUACCUGUAUUGUUGUUUGCAACAUGCUUUCUAUAUUUGACACAAAAUCUGUAGGGAAAAGAGACGUGUAAUUGGCUUGGAAGAAACUGAAGCAAUGAAAUUCCGGCUAGUAGGACUGCAUUUUUGCGUGUUUACUCAAUGUCAAAGCCACGCUAUUGUGUAUUGAUAGAAGCAAAUUUAACAUGAAAGCAAAAGACUUUUUUUCCUAUAUCAAAGGUGGUAUUGUUUAGCAGUUUUGCCAUUAGCAUGUUUCUGAGUCUCCAUCUUUGGCAGAUGCAAUGAUGACAUGAAGAAUCCUAGUGUUGUUCAGAUAAGUGAACUUCAUUGUAUUUAGUUGAAACUAAUAGCUAUAAUGUGUGUUUGUAUGUUUCUGAAUAUUUUAUUCAUUGACAGACGUGACGAAUGUCGGAAGAAAAUAGAAUAUGUAAGAAAUCAGUUCUUAUUCCCGCGUUUCCUGUCGGUUGUUAACAUCUCAAGAUUUUUGUUGUGUUUAGCUGUGCAACUGAUUUAAUGCUGAGUGUUUUUUUCCUUUCUAUAUUUGUCACAGAAUCUGUAGGUAAAAAAGAUGGAAGCAAUGAAAUUCCUGCUUGUAGAACCGCAGUUUUGCGUAUUCACUCAAUUUCAAAGCCACUUUAAUAUGUAUUGAUUGAAGCAAAAGACACUUUUUUCUUAAGGAAAAUUGGUAUUGUUUAACAGUUUUACCAUUAGCAUGUUUCUCAGUUUCCAUCUUUGGCAGAUACAAUGAUGCCAUAAAGUAUCCUAGAUAAUGUAAUUAAGAUAAGAGAACUUCAUUGCAUUUAGCUGAAACUAAUAGCUAUAAUGUGUGUGUGUUUCUGAGUAUUUUAUUCAUUGACAGAUGUGAUGAAUGUUGGAAGAAAAUGAAAUAUGUAAGGAAUUAUUACUUUUCCCCUCGUUUCUUGUCUGAUGUUAACAUCUCAAUAUUUUUCUUGUGUUUGCCUGUGCAAAUGAUUUAACGCUGUUUUUUCCCCUUCAGCUUUGUCAUUUUUGAGUUUUGAUAUGAAGCGAGUAAGAAUGUUUUCCUGUCAUAACUAAUGGAAUUAAUAAUUGCAGUUCCGUUUGGCUACUAUUAAAUGUUUACAUGCAACGUAGGGAAACUAAAACGAAAAUGGUUUAGUAGCUUUUUGUGUAAUGUUAAUUGUAGUAUUUUGGAAAAUGUGCUUUGUUUGUUUCUCACGUGAUAUUUAGAUGAUGAAAUUGGAAAUUGUCUUGAUGCAUGUUGCAGAUUGAAGAUAGCAGCAAUGCAAUUUAUUUGGUAGAUUAUUGUUUUCGCAUAUUAAGGUAAAGAAAACAUCAGUUGACAGAAUGAAAAGCCUUCCAGGAAAAGUAUGACUGCCUGUAAAAUUAAAGAAAAGCUUGUUUGUUUUCAGUUAAUGUCCAUUUCCUUUUCACCUGUGUAUUGUACAUAUGGAAAUAUAACUAUUUUAAAGAUAGUUUUAAAUUUGACAUCUACAGGUUUUGUAUGUUCCAAGUUGCCUGUGUGAUGUUUUCAUCUCCUUUUUUUGUCCCUCGUAGUAUUUAUUUUUGCUUUGAGAUGAAGAUAGAUUUCUUUAUGAAAUUUUACUGUUUGUGCCAUGCCUGUUAUUGGUAAUAUUUUACGUUGCCUAUUCUGCCUUGGUUGCAUAAAUACUCUGUUCACAGAAAAAACCUGAAGGAAAUGUAUGAAGAUGUUGAAGACUGUUAAUAUUGUCAUGCAGUUACAUUCAAUGAAUUAGUGAUUGGAAACUGUAAUUCUGUUGGUAAGUCUGGGUUGUAUGCAUUCAGUGUAUGUGAAUCUCUCUACUCUUGAAGCACUUUUUCCUUUCUCCACUUUUAAUGUUAAAUAUUUCAAGCAAAAUCUAGUUUAAUGUUGUGGAAUAUCAAAUGUUUGAUCUCAUUAGAAAAAAAAAUUCGAAAGAAAAUGCUGUUGUGGAUACACAAGUUUUGAAAUUGGGGCUUUUGGUUUUGUUAAAAUAUUUAGAAAUGAUUUUCUUAUGAGGCUUCCUCAUUAAAGUUGCAAGAGGUUUGAGUUUGCAUUAUCUUCUGUUGUCUAGGAUGAAUGUAACAAAUAUGUGCAGCAAUAAAAUAACCAAAGAAAUCAAGCUUUGAAAAGAGCCCUCAAUAAAUUAUGUCUCUGAAAGAAAAAAGAAAUCUUUACAAGAAAGGAAAGAUGUUUUGAGAGUAAGAGUUCCUUUGUUGUUAACCAAACUGUUUAUAUCUUUUAGGUAUAUUAAAUACUUUGUACACAUUUUCUCUUUUCUGAUUAAUUUCUUUUUAUAAGAUUUUAUAUGCAUAUAGUAAUGUAUGUGUGAAAACACCACCACGUGGAUAAGUUUUGUGGAGGCGUGUGAUAUGAUUUGGGUGUUGGUUUGUGUGUUCAAUUCUUUGAUUAUGUGAUGUGUUGUCUUCAAGCAACACUUCACGGAUUGACACAUUUCAUGCUACCUUAGUCCACUCAGCUGAACAUGAGGACCAGCAAAUAGCAGAUAUGCCUCUGUUUAGUGGGUAUAGUUUGUUACUCAUCUGCAGAUUAAUUUUAUGUAUUAAAAAUUAUAUUUACUACUUAAUGUCAACUUGCGAAUACUGAUGAUUAGCAAGGAAAUACAUAUUUCCUGUUUGAUUUUACUAAUAUUUUUGAAAGUAUUUAAAAAAUAUUUAUUUUCUAUUUGUAACAACUCCUUUUUCUAGGUAUACUGUUACAGGUUGAACAAUUGUUUAAAAGUUGCCCUGUACUGAAGUGAUCAAUUACUUGACGUUAAUUAUGAUUUUGCAGCAAUGGAAUGGCAGUUGUGGCCUCCAGUGUCUUCUGGAUGAAUUUAAUAAUCCUGCAUAAUGAUGGAAUAGCAAAAGAACUUAAGCUCAAAAAGAAUUCUCAUCAAAAUUGAAGUUUCCAAAUGAAAUAUUAUUUCAAAGGAAAAACAGUCAGAAAUUUAUAAAAUUAUCUGUUGAAUUUAAGAAGUUUUUCUUAUGAUCACAAGAAGCUCAUUAUCAUUAAAAUGUCAGUUAUUUCAAUAGCUAAUUAAAUUGCACUACUGAAACAAAAUUUAGCAAAAUUUAUGAAACACAUUGUGGAUAUAUACAACCAAAAUAAUUGAGUGGUCUGGAAAUGAGCAUAACUCACAAACGUAAAAAAAAAACAUAUCAAAAAGUGCCAAACAAAUAUUUUAAUUUUAUUUAUUGGAAUUGUACAAGUGAUGAAACUAUAUGAAAACUGAAAAAAUCGCUUUGCCAUAAUUACUUAUCAAAUCUUCUGUAGGCAUCUGGAUACUGAUAAUCUACUCCAUGUAUGAUAAAACACUCGAUACUAUUAUGAAUAUAGUUGUCUAUCAUGUAUCUAAAUAAAAAAAAAUAAAAAAUUUUUCAAUCAGA